UUGAGUAACACGUGGGUAACCUGCCUGUAAGACUGGGAUAACUCCGGGAAACCGGGGCUAAUACCGGAUGCUUGAUUGAACCGCAUGGUUCAAUUAUAAAAGGUGGCUUUUAGCUACCACUUACAGAUGGACCCGCGGCGCAUUAGCUAGUUGGUGAGGUAACGGUUCACCAAGGCUACGAUGCGUAGCCGACCUGAGAGGGUGAUCGGCCACACUGGGACUGAGACACGGCCCAGACUCCUACGGGAGGCAGCAGUAGGGAAUCUUCCGCAAUGGACGAAAGUCUGACGGAGCAACGCCGCGUGAGUGAUGAAGGUUUUCGGAUCGUAAAACUCUGUUGUUAGGGAAGAACAAGUACCGUUCGAAUAGGGCGGUACCUUGACGGUACCUAACCAGAAAGCCACGGCUAACUACGUGCCAGCAGCCGCGGUAAUACGUAGGUGGCAAGCGUUGUCCGGAAUUAUUGGGCGUAAAGCGCGCGCAGGCGGUUUCUUAAGUCUGAUGUGAAAGCCCCCGGCUCAACCGGGGAGGGUCAUUGGAAACUGGGGAACUUGAGUGCAGAAGAGGAGAGUGGAAUUCCACGUGUAGCGGUGAAAUGCGUAGAGAUGUGGAGGAACACCAGUGGCGAAGGCGACUCUCUGGUCUGUAACUGACGCUGAGGCGCGAAAGCGUGGGGAGCGAACAGGAUUAGAUACCCUGGUAGUCCACGCCGUAAACGAUGAGUGCUAAGUGUUAGAGGGUUUCCGCCCUUUAGUGCUGCAGCAAACGCAUUAAGCACUCCGCCUGGGGAGUACGGUCGCAAGACUGAAACUCAAAGGAAUUGACGGGGGCCCGCACAAGCGGUGGAGCAUGUGGUUUAAUUCGAAGCAACGCGAAGAACCUUACCAGGUCUUGACAUCCUCUGACAACCCUAGAGAUAGGGCUUCCCCUUCGGGGGCAGAGUGACAGGUGGUGCAUGGUUGUCGUCAGCUCGUGUCGUGAGAUGUUGGGUUAAGUCCCGCAACGAGCGCAACCCUUGAUCUUAGUUGCCAGCAUUCAGUUGGGCACUCUAAGGUGACUGCCGGUGACAAACCGGAGGAAGGUGGGGAUGACGUCAAAUCAUCAUGCCCCUUAUGACCUGGGCUACACACGUGCUACAAUGGGCAGAACAAAGGGCAGCGAAGCCGCGAGGCUAAGCCAAUCCCACAAAUCUGUUCUCAGUUCGGAUCGCAGUCUGCAACUCGACUGCGUGAAGCUGGAAUCGCUAGUAAUCGCGGAUCAGC
rnacentral:rRNA from 1 species